rnacentral:rRNA from 1 species
AGAGAUGUGUGAUGACGCAUAUCAAUAAGCGGAGGAAAAGAAACUAACAAGGAUUCCCUUAGUAACGGCGAGUGAAGCGGGAAGAGCUCAAAUUUGAAAUCUUCAAGGGUUUACCUUUACGAAUUGUAGUUUAAAGAAGUGUUUUCUGUUGGAGUUUCGGUAAAAGUUCUUUGGAAUAGGACAUCAUAGAGGGUGAGAAUCCCGUAUUUGACCAGUUACUUUCCAGCUGUGUGAUACACUUUCAAAGAGUCGGAUUGUUUGGGAAUGCAGUCCAAAAUGGGUGGUAAAUUUCAUCUAAAGCUGAAUAUUGGCGAGAGACCGAUAGCGAACAAGUACCGUGAGGGAAAGAUGAAAAGAACUUUGAAAAGAGAGUUAAACAGUACGUGAAAUUGUCAAAAGGGAAGCGUUUGACACCAGUGUUGUUUUCUCGAAAAUCAAUUAAGAAUGUUGUAUUUUGUAGAAUUGUAUUGACUUUAUCAGGCUUUCUGCACUUUUCUUAUGAACUUUUUUAAUGCACUUUUCGGUUAACAAGUCAACAUCAAUUUCUUUUGUUGUAAAAGGUCAGUAGGAAGGUGGCUUUGCGCUUCGGAUAAAGUGUUUAUAGCCUUUGCUCUCUGCAAUCGGAGAGAUUGAGGUCUGCAGCGUAGAUCCUUCGGGGUUAGAUACAUUUGUGCUAAGCUAUAGUUCUUUCAUAGACAACUUGUUGACUAUAGUCAAGUCCUGUAGCUUACUCGCUUAUGCUAUUUUACCUACGCUUAGGAUGUUGAAGAUGUAGCACAUCAU